CUUGUCAUUUAGAGGAAGUAAAAGUCGUAACAAGGUUUCCGUAGGUGAACCUGGGAAGGAUCAUUACUGAGAACAAUGCCCUUUGGGGUAUAUCUCCCACCCUUGUUUACAAUACCUUUGUUGCUUUGGCGGGCCUGUCUUGUGGACUACUGUGUUAGCUGGUCUGUGCCCGCCAGAGGACCCUAAAACUCUUGUAUUUAGUUUGUCUGAGUACUAUAUAAAUAGUUUAAAACUUUCAACAACGGAUCUUUGGUUCUGGCAUCGAUGAAGAACGCAGCGAAAUGCGAUAAGUAAUGUGAUUGCAGAAUUCAGUGAAUCAUCGAAUCUUUGAACGCACAUUGCACCCUUGGCAUUCCAGAGGGUAUGCCUGUUCGAGCGUCAUUGCAACCCUCAAGCCUGCUUGGUAUUGGAUGCUACCACUUGGCACAUCUCAAAAAUAUUGGCAUGGCAUUCAGCUUCUAGUGUAGUAAUUUUCUUGCUUAGGAGUCUGAGUGCUGACUGCUGGAACCUUCUAGUUUAUCACAAGGUUGACCUCGGAUCAGGAGGGAUACCCGCUGAACUUAAGCAUAUCAAUAAGCGGAGGAAAGGGGCA
rnacentral:rRNA from 1 species